UCAGCUCCCGUCCUGGGCCAAUGGCGCACAGAGAAGCCUUAUCAUACUUAUCCCCGGCUGGCCAAUGGCGCGCCGCUCCCCGGCUCACAUGACGCCUCUGUGUGCGCUCCCUCUCCUCUCAGCGCUCGAUCCCGGCGAGUGCGAGCAUCACUGAAGACCUGACACCGGCGGAAUCGGACGUCCGCCGUCCUCGGCAGAAUUAAACCAGGCGUUAUCUUACGCCAACUUUAUCGCCAUCAGACGAAGCUGACCGUCCCCUCGAUGAGAACGACGCCGCUCCGCCGGAGAGGAACCGACUUUUUUUUUUUUUUUUUUUCCGUCUCCAAACGAGCGGAGAGACGCAGGGGCGAGACAAUAACGCCCAGAAGUUAUUGAAAUGAAUCGUCAUGGCAGCUGGCACGAGAUGAAGAAACAGUGCGAGCGCUCGCAGCGUUAGCCUUCGCUGCGGAGGGAAGGAAGGCGAGCAGAAUGCAACGAGGAAAAAGACGAGAGUGAUGAAAGAGAGGUCCAGACACGAAGGAGGCAUGUGCGCGCGCACACACACAUGCAUCGGCACCUAGAGUCUGUCUGCGGUCUACCACCAGCCUGCCCCACACACACACACGCACACACACGCAUCGGCCUGUUACGGGCAGAAGAUAAAGAGGGAGACGCCAUUCCAGCUGUGAGGAAUUGGAAGGAGUCGACACACACACACACACACACACACACACACACACACACACACACACACACACACACACACACACUCUCACACACAAACACACACACACAGCCGGAGGCGUGUGAGCAGGUGAGCAUUAAGUCAGGCAGCUAAACAGAUCACGUCGCGGUAUGAUAUCUGCAGACAGGCAGACAGAGGAGGCCGGUCUGUACCUGCAGGCAGAGAGCAACAACUCACAGCACCCUCGCCAGGAAUUUCCUCCCCCUCCUGAGAGAGAGGGAGAGGGAGAGGGAGGGGGAGGGGGGUGCAUAAAGUGGGGUUUCCGCAGAAGUGUUUUCAUGUAAACCGAAAACUAUAAUGGC